GUCUACAGCCAUGCCACCCUGAACGCGCCCGAUCUCAUCUGAUCUCGGAAGCUAAGCAGGGUUGGGCCUGGUUAGUACUUGGACGGGAGACCACCUAAGAAUAUUGGGUGCUGCAGGCA
rnacentral:rRNA from 1 species